rnacentral:rRNA from 1 species
GAUCCUGGCUCAGGAUGAACGCUAGCUACAGGCUUAACACAUGCAAGUCGAGGGGCAGCAUGAUCAAAGCUUGCUUGAUUGAUGGCGACCGGCGCACGGGUGAGUAACGCGUAUCCAACCUUCCCUAUAGUAGUGGAUAGCCCGGCGAAAGUCGGAUUAAUACACUAUGUUGUAUUUAGAGGACAUCUGAAGAAUACCAAAGGUUUACCGCUAUAGGAUGGGGAUGCGUCUGAUUAGAUAGUAGGCGGGGUAACGGCCCACCUAGUCGACGAUCAGUAGGGGUUCUGAGAGGAAGGUCCCCCACAUUGGAACUGAGACACGGUCCAAACUCCUACGGGAGGCAGCAGUGAGGAAUAUUGGUCAAUGGACGGGAGUCUGAGCCAGCCAAGUAGCGUGCAGGAUGACGGCCCUAUGGGUUGUAAACUGCUUUUAUACGGGGAUAAAGUGAGCCACGUGUGGCUUUUUGUAGGUACCGUAUGAAUAAGGACCGGCUAAUUCCGUGCCAGCAGCAGC